UACGUAGGUCCCGAGCGUUGUCCGGAUUUAUUGGGCGUAAAGCGAGCGCAGGUGGUUUAUUAAGUCUGGUGUAAAAGGCAGUGGCUCAACCAUUGUAUGCAUUGGAAACUGGUAGACUUGAGUGCAGGAGAGGAGAGUGGAUUUCCAUGUGUAGCGGUGAAAUGCGUAGAUAUAUGGAGGAACACCGGUGGCGAAAGCGGCUCUCUGGCCUGUAACUGACACUGAGGCUCGAAAGCGUGGGGAGCAAACAGG
rnacentral:rRNA from 1 species